rnacentral:rRNA from 1 species
UACGUAGGGGGCAAGCGUUGUCCGGAAUUACUGGGCGUAAAGGGCUCGUAGGCGGCCAACUAAGUCAGACGUGAAAUCCCUCGGCUUAACCGGGGAACUGCGUCUGAUACUGGACGGCUCGAGACCGGAAGAGGUCAGUGGAACUGCGAGUGUAGAGGUGAAAUUCGUAGAUAUUCGCAAGAACACCAGUGGCGAAGGCGGCUGACUGGUCCGGUUCUGACGCUGAGGCGCGAAAGCGUGGGGAGCAAACAGG